AUUGAACGCUGGCGGCAUGCCUUACACAUGCAAGUCGAACGGCAGCAUGAUCUAGCUUGCUAGAUUGAUGGCGAGUGGCGAACGGGUGAGUAAUACAUCGGAACGUGCCCUGUAGUGGGGGAUAACUAGUCGAAAGAUUAGCUAAUACCGCAUACGACCUGAGGGUGAAAGUGGGGGACCGCAAGGCCUCAUGCUAUAGGAGCGGCCGAUGUCUGAUUAGCUAGUUGGUGAGGUAAAGGCUCACCAAGGCGACGAUCAGUAGCUGGUCUGAGAGGACGAUCAGCCACACUGGAACUGAGACACGGCCCAGACUCCUACGGGAGGCAGCAGUGGGGAAUUUUGGCCAAUGGGCGAAAGCCUGAUCCAGCAAUGCCGCGUGUGUGAAGAAGGCCUUCGGGUUGUAAAGCACUUUUGUCCGGAAAGAAAUGGCUCUGGUUAAUACCUGGGGUCGAUGACGGUACCGGAAGAAUAAAGACCGGCUAACUACGU
rnacentral:rRNA from 1 species